GCCUUCUUAGCUCAGUGGUAGAGCGUUGCCCUUGUAUAACAAGCCUGCGUUGACCCGCAUACAAUGCAAAGGCCAGUCGUUCAAUCCGUCUGGAAGGCA